UCCCUGGUGACUCAGACGGUAAAGCAUCUGCCUACAAUGCAGGAGACCCGGGUUCAAUUCCUGGGUUGGGAA
rnacentral:tRNA from 1 species